UAGCUGGCGGCCGUCAGGUAAUUCACCUGGGGGCGGGAGGGAAACGGGGAUGAGUUAUCGGGGGUUGGUUAUCGGGGGUUGGUUAUCCUCUGUUGGUUAUCCGGGGUUGGUUAUCCUGUGUUGGUUAUCCCGGGUCGGUUAUCCCGGGUCGGUUAUCCUGUGUUGGUUAUCCCGGGUUGGUUAUCCGGGGUUGGUUAUCCCGGGUUGGUUAUCCCGGGUCGGUUAUCCCGAGUUGGUUAUCCUCUGUUGGUUAUCCGGGGUUGGUUAUCCCGGGUUGGUUAUCCGGGGUUGGUUAUCCAGGGUUGGUUAUCCCGGGUUGGUUAUCCCAGGUUGGUUAUCCCAGGUCGGUUAUCCGGGGUUGGUUAUCCUGUGUUGGUUAUCCCAGGUCGGUUAUCCGGGGUUGGUUAUCCUGUGUUGGUUAUCCCAGGUUGGUUAUCCCGGGUCGGUUAUCCCGAGUUGGUUAUCCUCUGUUGGUUAUCCGGGGUUGGUUAUCCUGGGUUGGUUAUCCCGGGUUGGUUAUCCCGGGUUGGUUAUCCUGUGUUGGUUAUCCGGGGUUGGUUAUCCCGGGGUUGGUUCUCUGGGGUCGGUUAUCCAGGGUUGGUUAUCCCGGGUUGGUUAUCCGGGGUUGGUUAUCCCGGGUCUGUUAUCCCUGGUCAGUUAUCCUGGCUCGGUUAUCCCUGGUUGGUUAUCCCGGGUCGGUUAUCCUGUGUUGGUUAUCCGGGGUUGGUUAUCCCGGGUUGGUUAUCCGGGGUUGGUUAUCCCAGGUCUGUUAUCCCGGGUGGGUUAUCCGGGGUUGGUUAUCCUGUGUUGGUUAUCCCAGGUCGGUUAUCCUGUGUUGGUUAUCCUGUGUUGGUUAUCCGGGGUUGGUUAUCCCGGGUUGGUUAUCCUGUGUUGGUUAUCCUGUGUUGGUUAUCCCGGGUUGGUUAUCCGGGGUCGGUUAUCCCGGGUUGGUUAUCCCGGGUUGGUUAUCCUGUGUUGGUUAUCCCGGGUUGGUUAUCCCGGGUUGGUUAUCCUGUGUUGGUUAUCCCGGGUUGGUUAUCCCGGGUUGGUUAUCCGGGGUUGGUUAUCCUGUGUUGGUUAUCCNGGGGGGAGAUGGGGCAGGAAAGGGUUAAUCAAUGUGGUUAAUUCUUAUCAGUGUGGUUAACCCUUAUCAGUGAUUAAUGCAUUAUCAGUAUGAUUAACCCUUAUCAGGGUGGUUAACCCUUAUCAAUGUAAUUAAUGCCUUAUCAUUGUGGUGAAUUCUUAUCAGUGUGGUUAACCCUUAUCAAUGUAAUUAAUGCCUUAUCAAAGUGGUUAAUCCUUAUCAGUGUGGUUAAUCCUUAUCAAUGUGAUUAAUGCUUUAUCAGUGUGGUUAAUGCCUUAUCAGUGUGGUUAAACCCUUAUCAGUGUGGUUAAUCCUUAUCAGUGAUUAAUGCUUUAUCAGUGUGGUGAAUCCUUAUCAGUGUGGUUAACCCUUAUCAGUGAUUAAUGCCUUAUUAGUGUGGUUAAACCCUUAUCAGUGAUUAAUGGUUUAUCAGUGUGGUUAACCCUUAUCAGUGAUUAAUGCCUUAUCAGUGUGGUUAACUCUUAUCAGUGAUUAAUGCCUUAUCAGUGUGGUUAACUCUUAUCAGUGAUUAAUGCUUUAUCAGUGUGGUUAACUCUUAUCAGUGUGGGUAACCCUUAUCAGUGAUUAAUGCUUUAUCAGUGUGGUUAAUGCUUUAUCAGUGAUUAAUGGUUUAUCAGUGUGGUUAAUGCCUUAUCAGUGUGGUUAACCCUUAUCAGUUUGGUUAACCCUUAUCAGUGUGGUCAACCCUUAUCAAUGCCAUUAAAACCUUAUCAGUGUAAUUAACCCUUAUCAGUGUGGUUAACCCUUAUCAGUAAUUAAUGCUUUAUCAGUGUGAUUAAUGCCUUAUCAGUGUGGUUAACCCUUAUCAAUGUGAUUAAUGCCUUAUCAGUGUGGUUAACCCUUAUCAGUGUGGUUAACUCUUAUCAGGGUGGUUAACCCUUAUCAGUGAUUAAUGCCUUAUCAGUGUGGUUAACCCUUAUCAGUGAUUAAUGCUUUAUCAGUGUGGUUAACCCUUAUCAGUGUGAUUAACCCUUAUCAAUGUGAUUAAUGCUUUAUCAGUGCAGUUAAACCCUUAUCAGUGUGGUUAAUCCUUAUCAGUGUGGUUAAUCCUUAUCAGUGAUUAAUGGUUUAUCAGUGUGGUUAAUGCAUUAUCAGUGUGGUUAACCCUUAUCAGUGUGGUUAACCCUUAUCAGUGUGGUUAACCCUUAUCAGUGAUUAAUGCCUUAUCAAUGCGAUUAAUGCAUUAUCAGUGUGGUUAAACCCUUAUCAGUGUGGUUAAACCCUUAUCAGUGUGGCUAACCCUUAUCAGUGUGGUUAAUCCUUAUCAGUGAUUAAUGCCUUAUCAGUGUGGUUAACCCUUAUCAGUGAUUAAUGCAUUAUCAGUGUGAUUAAUGCCUUAUCAGUGUGGUUAACCCUUAUCAGUGUGGUUAAAGCCUUACCAGUGUGGUUAACCCUUAUCAGUGAUUAAUGCUUUAUCAGCAUGGUUAAACCAUUAUCAGCGUGAUUAACCCUUAUCAGUGUGGUUAACCCUUAUCAGUGAUUAAUGCUUUAUCAGUGUGGUUAACCCUUAUCAGUGUGGUUAACUCUUAUCAGUGUGGUUAACCCUUAUCAGUGAUUAAUGCUUUAUCAGUGUGGUUAACCCUUAUCAGUGUGGUUAAACCCUUAUCAGUGUGGUUAACCCUUAUCAGUGAUUAAUGCCUCAUCAAUGUGAUUAAUGCAUUAUCAGUGUGGUUAAUUCUUAUCAGUGUGGUUAAUGCCUUAUCAGUGUGGUUAACCCUUAUCAGUGUGGUUAACCCUUAUCAGUGAUUAAUGCCUUAUCAGUGUGGUUAACCCUUAUCAGUGAUUAAUGCAUUAUCAGUGUGAUUAACCCUUAUCAGUGUGGUUAACCCUUAUCAGUGUGGUUAACCCUUAUCAGUGAUUAAUGCUUUAUCAGUGUGGUUAAACCAUUAUCAGUGUGAUUAAACCCUUAUCAGUGCGAUUAAUGUCUUAUCAGUGUGGUUAUACCAUUAUCAGUGUGGUUAAACCCUUAUCAGUGUAAUUAAAGUCUUAUCAGUACGAUUAAUGCCUUAUCAGUAUGAUUAAAACAUGAUAAAAGCCUUUUCAAUAUGAUUAAAACCUUAUUAAUAAUUAAAGGCUUAUCAAUAGGAUUAAAGCUUUAUUAGUGCGGUUAAACCCUUAUCAAUAUGAUUAAAGUCUUAUCAGUGUAAUUAAAGCCUUAUCAAUAUGAUUAAAACAUGAUUAAACCCUUAAAAAUAUGACUAAAGCCUUAUCAAUGUGAUUAAAGCAUUGUAAACACGAUUAAAGCCUUAUAAAUGUGAUUAAAUAAACUUAUAAAUAUGAGCGUCUGUAAAAGACUG
ensembl:lncRNA